rnacentral:rRNA from 1 species
AACGUAGGAGACAAACGUUAUCCGGAGUUACCGGGCGUAAAGGGCGUGUAGGUGGUUUCGUAAGUCUGGCGUGAAAUUUCUCGGCUUAACCGAGGCAGGUCGUCGGAUACUGCGGAACUUGAGGACGGUAGAGGCGUGUGGAAUUCCGGGUGUAGUGGUGAAAUGCGUAGAGAUCCGGAGGAACACCAGUGGCGAAGGCGACACGCUGGGCCGUACCUGACACUGAUGCGCGACAGCAUGGGGAGCAAACAGG